AACUUGUCUUUUAGUCUGCUAAAAAAGAGUCAAAUAAAAUGUCUGCAAUUGUCAACCUACGUGUUUUCCGUAAUUUUCAGCAGUUUGUGUCAAUUAGACCCAUUUCUAAUGAUCCCACAUCAUUUCGAUAAAAAAAAAGGAAUUCAGAAGGUGGAUGGAGAUGACGAAUUCCGUUCGCUGGAUCUGAGUCCCAACAAGUCGUUGAAUAUGAGAUCAUACGGACGCAAAGUGUACAAGAGAGUAGCAGUUCAUCCUCCACAUUCCAACAAAAUGCCAACUGAUGAAGACUGGCCCUCAGUUUCGCCAAUUGCCAGAUCUUUCCAUCCAGCUAGUUUUCCCCUGCCCUUGCAUCAGGACUAUGUUGUUCCGGGGGCAACACCACCAGGUAAAUUUGCCAAUGCAGAGAUGAUGAAGAUCCCCAACUUCAAGUUAGGUUAUGGCCGUCAAGCAGCCUACCGUCAACUAUUUUGUUCAAAAUCAUUGUAUUCUACUGAAUGUGCAAUCGAAAUGAUACAGGAGUCAUAAUUAUCUGCUGUUUGUAUUGGACUUGCUAGAUCACCAAUCCCAGCAUAGACCAAUCUCUCAUUUCAUCUUCUUGAGAGAAGAAUGGAUUAGUGAUUGGUGGUUUCAUUUAUCAUAGAUGUCAAGCACUUUGAUGACACAAAUUAUAAACAAGAUCACCAACCACAGCAUGAACCAAUCAAUCAUUCACUUCUUUAGAGAACCUUGGAUAGCUGUUCGGUGGUUUUAUUUACAUCAAGCACAUUGAUGACACCAAUGAUAAACAGGUUUAUCGUGUAUGUUCGCGUAGUUGCUGUCCGCUGUGGUACUUUGUUGCAGCCUAUGCUGGUGAUAGAUCUUUCUGCAUCAAAUUCAAUUGGCCGUGCUGUUGUCGUGUAACCGUUAAAUGUUAAGAAGGAAAAAAAAUAUGGGGAUAGUUAUGUCUAGCAAGUAAUAAACAUGUUUUCGGGAUUGGGAAAGGAAAGUGGAAGAUGUUGGAGAGGGGGAUUCAAGUUUGGAUAAAAACAGUUAAUUUUAAGUUUUAACCCUACAAACAUAUCCCUACCAACUAAUCUCCAAACCCCACAAACUUAUACCUUCCAACUCUUCACACACAAACACACCUACCAACCCUAAAUUUAUAUCAUAUCCAAAUUAACCAAUGUUAAACCCUAACAAUGUGAUGUCUGUAAUAAAUAAAACUUUUUAUACAUAAAA
rnacentral:misc_RNA from 1 species